UACAGAGGUCCCAAGCGUUGUUCGGAUUCACUGGGCGUAAAGGGUGCGUAGGUGGCCAGGUAAGUUCGGUGUGAAAGCUCGGAGCUUAACUCCGAAAUGGCAUUGAAUACUAUCUGGCUAGAGGGUCGGAGGGGAGACUGGAAUUCUCGGUGUAGCAGUGAAAUGCGUAGAUAUCGAGAGGAACACCAGUGGCGAAGGCGAGUCUCUGGACGGCUCCUGACACUGAGGCACGAAAGCCAGGGGAGCAAACAGG
rnacentral:rRNA from 1 species